rnacentral:lncRNA from 1 species
GGGGAGGGGUGGUAGUCGUAAGCAAUGUGAUUGCCAGAAAGCAAACUCUUCCCCUUAUUGUCAAACUUCACUUUGUACUUCUUACCAGCACCUGGAAGAUGUUUCAGCAGAGCAGGAUCAAUAAAGGCACAGUGAUGCCAUACAGAAAGAGCUGAGCACCACUGACCCACACCCAGAACCUACCGACUGUCUGGAUGGCAAUCAGAGUUCCUUUGUGCCACGUUUUGGUUCUCUUCUUGCCCAGGAUCCUCAUGCCAACCUUCAGAUCGCCAUCGUUGCUGAGAUCACCCACACCCACAGCAGGUCCAGAAGACUGGGGAGCACCAGGAGCUUGCUGAGGGGUUUGUGCAUCUUUCAGUGCAUCCUGGGCGUUCGUUCUCCUGUGCACAGCAUCCAUAAAUU